rnacentral:rRNA from 1 species
AUUGAACGCUGGCGGCAGGCCUAACACAUGCAAGUCGAGCGGAUGAAGGGAGCUUGCUCCUGGAUUCAGCGGCGGACGGGUGAGUAAUGCCUAGGAAUCUGCCUGGUAGUGGGGGAUAACGUCCGGAAACGGGCGCUAAUACCGCAUACGUCCUGAGGGAGAAAGUGGGGGAUCUUCGGACCUCAUGCUAUCAGAUGAGCCUAGUUCGGAUUAGCUAGUUGGUGGGGUAAAGGCCUACCAAGGCGACGAUCCGUAACUGGUCUGAGAGGAUGAUCAGUCACACUGGAACUGAGACACGGUCCAGACUCCUACGGGAGGCAGCAGUGGGGAAUAUUGGACAAUGGGCGAAAGCCUGAUCCAGCCAUGCCGCGUGUGUGAAGAAGGUCUUCGGAUUGUAAAGCACUUUAAGUUGGGAGGAAGGGCAGUAAGUUAAUACCUUGCUGUUUUGACGUUACCAACAGAAUAAGCACCGGCUAACUUCGUG